rnacentral:lncRNA from 1 species
UAGAAUUCUGUUCCAAGAACCAAACAUCUCACACACUACUUGAUAUAACAAGGUGGUCAUGUUUACAGAGCUACGGGCACUGUUUCCUAAUAUCACUGUCACCAAGUUGCUCCAUCCAUGUUUUCAUCAAGUGUUUGUGGAUCACAUCUUAUGUCCAAACCAUGGGCAUAGAUUCUAGACAGCAGUGACGAGAGUGGCAGCCAUGGCUACUGCUGUGCAAUUUUGGAAUGGAGUGCUGCCUGAGUUUCAGCUGAGGUGUGUCAGUAU